CCAUGAGGGAAAGGUGAAAAGGACUUUGAAAAGAGAGUUAAAAGUGCCUGAAAUUGCUGAAAGGGAAGCGAAUGGAACCAGCGAAACUUGGCAAGAUUGCUGUGUGUCAAUGUGAUUGCUUGCUGCUGCAACGUAAGUGUGGUAGUAAGUCUUGAGCAGGACAUGCUCGGUGUUUCUUGCCUUGUGUGUCACCUGUGGUUCGUGAUUGAGGAAAACUUCAGGGACAUGGUAGCCUGUCUCCGGGUGGGUGAACGUGUCUGCUGGAACUCAUUCGUGGACUGCUUGGUGACUAAAUGGUUUCAUCCGACCCGUCUUGAAACACGGACCAAGGAGUCUAACAUAUGUGCAAGUUCACGGGUGUUAAACCUGCUUGCGUAAUGAAAGUGACUGCUGGGAUCUUUGCACCAGCAACCGACCAAUCAAUUGAGAGAGGUUUGAGUAUGAGCAUAUCUGUUCGGACCCGAAAGAUGGUGAACUAUGCCUGUGAAGGGCAAACUCAGGGGAAACUCUGAU
rnacentral:rRNA from 1 species